UGGGGAAUUUUGGACAAUGGGGGAAACCCUGAUCCAGCCAUCCCGCGUGUGCGAUGAAGGCCUUCGGGUUGUAAAGCACUUUUGGCAGGAAAGAAACGUCAUGGGUUAAUACCCCGUGAAACUGACGGUACCUGCAGAAUAAGCACCGGCUAACUACGUGCCAGCAGCCGCGGUAAUACGUAGUGUGCAAGCGUUAAUCGGAAUUACUGGGCGUAAAGCGUGCGCAGGCGGUUCGGAAAGAAAGAUGUGAAAUCCCAGAGCUCAACUUUGGAACUGCAUUUUUAACUACCGGGCUAGAGUGUGUCGGAGGGAGGUGGAAUUCCGCGUGUAGCAGUGAAAUGCGUAGAUAUGCGGAGGAACACCGAUGGCGAAGGCAGCCUCCUGGGAUAACACUGACGCUCAUGCACGAAAGCGUGGGGAGCAAACAGG
rnacentral:rRNA from 1 species